UCAGGGGAUAACAUUACGAGAGGAACUGAGACCCUCGCAAGUCUCGUUAUCGCAUCACAUUCAAAAGGUGAAAACACCACAAGAUUUACCGAAAAUCUGCGUGAUCCAAUCGCAAAAGAAAUUUAAAACGAAGAAAAUGCUUCCAUAGAAUCGCCCUCUAAAAUUGCCCGCUCUUAAAGUUUACAUGCUAUUUGGCGAAAGUUUAAUCUACGAUGGAGUGAAAUCUGUCGUCUGCUAGGGCGUCCUUAGCAGCAAUCGGAAAACCUUUAGAGCGGAAAACAUUACUAAAGGAACCAAGAUACACAAAAUUCAUCUCAUCGCAUCGCACUUCAAAGGUAAAAUUUAUACAUUGAAUUUCCUGAUUAAAGAUAUUCUUAUGCUGCAUUGGAAAUUCUAAUAAAAAUUCUAAAAAAGCGACACAAGUCGCUUCUUUCGGAUCCGUCUUCAAAGAAAAACGAUAAUCUUUUCAGCGAUGUUUUAAAUGAAGAGAAUUUAAUGGAAAAGGGAAAAUACCUCCAACAUCCCCAGUAAUACUUCGUAUGCAAAAGAAAAACAGAAAUGAAAAUUCAAGUUUCGGUGUUCCAAACGAAAGGUCAACAUCGCUGCAGCCACUAAUAGUCAACACUCAAAGGUCGCUUUAUAUUUAUGAUCCAAAUACUCAAACUUGGAAGCCAUAAAACGUUUUUUGCAAACAAUAGGAUUGAAUUUUGAUUUAUAUUGUAUACCUCCUUGGAAUGUUUCCCUGGAACCACCCUCUUAUCCUAUUCUUAU